rnacentral:rRNA from 1 species
UACGUAGGGUGCAAGCGUAUCCGGAAUUAUUGGGCGUAAAGAGCUCGUAGGCGGUUUGUCGCGUCUGCUGUGAAAACUGGAGGCUCAACCUCCAGCCUGCAGUGGGUACGGGCAGACUAGAGUGCGGUAGGGGAGAUUGGAAUUCCUGGUGUAGCGGUGGAAUGCGCAGAUAUCAGGAGGAACACCGGUGGCGAAGGCGGGUCUCUGGGCCGAUGACUGACGCUGAGGAGCGAAAGCGUGGGGAGCGAACAGG